AAAAAAAAAAAAUUGCUUCCUAAUAGAAAGAUGUAUUGAUUAGAUAAUAUCUAUGGAUUUAUAUAUUAUAUAUUGCUAUUAUAUUUGUGUAUAUUAUGUUAUAAAUUGAAAGUUAUAAAUAAUAGAAAUUAAAAAAAAAAAAAAAAAGGAAUAGGUAUUAUGACAUUGUUUAUAUCAAAGUUUCCAGUGGAACUUCUGUUAGGCGGAACAAAUAUACGUUGACAACUUGACCUCUUUGGUAUGACCAAACAUUGUUACCCAUCACUAUUUCUUUCACUCUGUUUUGAAUGCCAGUCCUACAUCAAUCACUGUGCUUUGAUUACAUCAAUAACAUAGGAUCCUUUUUCUGCAGAAAAAAAUAACUCAUACUCCUUGAUAUAACAUAAACACAUUUUAAAAGCUGUAGUUUUGAAAAAAGAAAAAAAGUCAUUUGCAUCCUAUUUGUAUUAUCUUAAAAAAGAUGAAAAUAUAUUAAAAUGCCUGGUGAGCAAUUCAAGCUAUAAGGGAGCCUCUAGUUAUUAUAACUGGC
rnacentral:lncRNA from 1 species